AAAUUGAAGAGUUUGAUCAUGGCUCAGAUUGAACGCUGGCGGCAGGCCUAACACAUGCAAGUCGAACGGUAACAGGAAGCAGCUUGCUGUUUCGCUGACGAGUGGCGGACGGGUGAGUAAUGUCUGGGAAACUGCCUGAUGGAGGGGGAUAACUACUGGAAACGGUGGCUAAUACCGCAUAACGUCGCAAGACCAAAGAGGGGGACCUUCGGGCCUCUUGCCAUCAGAUGUGCCCAGAUGGGAUUAGCUUGUUGGUGAGGUAACGGCUCACCAAGGCGACGAUCCCUAGCUGGUCUGAGAGGAUGACCAGCCACACUGGAACUGAGACACGGUCCAGACUCCUACGGGAGGCAGCAGUGGGGAAUAUUGCACAAUGGGCGCAAGCCUGAUGCAGCCAUGCCGCGUGUAUGAAGAAGGCCUUCGGGUUGUAAAGUACUUUCAGCGGGGAGGAAGGUGUUGCGGUUAAUAACCGCAGCAAUUGACGUUACCCGCAGAAGAAGCACCGGCUAACUCCGUGCCAGCAGCCGCGGUAAUACGGAGGGUGCAAGCGUUAAUCGGAAUUACUGGGCGUAAAGCGCACGCAGGCGGUCUGUCAAGUCGGAUGUGAAAUCCCCGGGCUCAACCUGGGAACUGCAUUCGAAACUGGCAGGCUUGAGUCUUGUAGAGGGGGGUAGAAUUCCAGGUGUAGCGGUGAAAUGCGUAGAGAUCUGGAGGAAUACCGGUGGCGAAGGCGGCCCCCUGGACAAAGACUGACGCUCAGGUGCGAAAGCGUGGGGAGCAAACAGGAUUAGAUACCCUGGUAGUCCACGCCGUAAACGAUGUCUACUUGGAGGUUGUGCCCUUGAGGCGUGGCUUCCGGAGCUAACGCGUUAAGUAGACCGCCUGGGGAGUACGGCCGCAAGGUUAAAACUCAAAUGAAUUGACGGGGGCCCGCACAAGCGGUGGAGCAUGUGGUUUAAUUCGAUGCAACGCGAAGAACCUUACCUGGUCUUGACAUCCACGGAAGUUUUCAGAGAUGAGAAUGUGCCUUCGGGAACCGUGAGACAGGUGCUGCAUGGCUGUCGUCAGCUCGUGUUGUGAAAUGUUGGGUUAAGUCCCGCAACGAGCGCAACCCUUAUCCUUUGUUGCCAGCGAUUAGGUCGGGAACUCAAAGGAGACUGCCAGUGAUAAACUGGAGGAAGGUGGGGAUGACGUCAAGUCAUCAUGGCCCUUACGACCAGGGCUACACACGUGCUACAAUGGCGCAUACAAAGAGAAGCGACCUCGCGAGAGCAAGCGGACCUCAUAAAGUGCGUCGUAGUCCGGAUUGGAGUCUGCAACUCGACUCCAUGAAGUCGGAAUCGCUAGUAAUCGUGGAUCAGAAUGCCACGGUGAAUACGUUCCCGGGCCUUGUACACACCGCCCGUCACACCAUGGGAGUGGGUUGCAAAAGAAGUAGGUAGCUUAACCUUCGGGAGGGCGCUUACCACUUUGUGAUUCAUGACUGGGGUGAAGUCGUAACAAGGUAACCGUAGGGGAACCUGCGGUUGGAUCACCUCCUUACCUGAAAGAA
rnacentral:rRNA from 2 species